rnacentral:snRNA from 1 species
AUACAUUUCUCGGCCUUUUGGCUAAGAUCAAGUGUAGUAUCUGUUCUUAUCAGUUUAAUAUCUGAUAUGUGGGCCAUCGGCCCACUUGAUAUUAAUCUUAGUUUUUAUGGGGAAAGACCCAUCUCAAUAGCUUGCUAUUGGGGUCUUUGAGCGUUGCCUUGGUCUUGCACUACUUGUUAUGUGUGUUAACAAAUCUUGU